CCCGCCUCUGUUUGCCUCUCUGUGCACCAACUGUGAGUCUCUGUAAACACUGGAUUCCUCUGUUUCUCCCAGGACACGUGGUCCAACUCCGCCUUCAAGGUUAGGCUUCCGCACUUUAAGUGCAAGCCCAGAUCCACUACCCAGUUCUGGAAUUCAAGGGGAAUGAUUGGCCUAGUUAUUUAUCCCUGGUCCAAUCAGCUAUGGCUGUGGGCGGGGCCACAAGCAAACAUGGCGUCAAGCGCUCACGUCCAUGAGGGGAGAAAGGAGGGAGGAAGUAGAAAGGAUGAAGAAAAGGAAGGAGUGAGAGAGAGAGAAAGAAGAGAGCGAGCUCUCAGAGAAUAGAGGCUGGGGGACUGCUCGUUAAAUAACCCAAUUCCCUUAGGUGGGACAGCCCUGAUGCAGGUCUAGGCAAUCUCCAGAGGGCCCUAGUGGGACUGAGCCCAGAUACCCACAGCCGUGACCUGCCAUUCCUUUUUUUAUUCCCCCCGACCCCUGAGAUGGAGUCUCGCCCUGUGGCCCAGGUUGCAGUGCAGCAGCACCAUCUCGGCUCACUGCAACCUUCACCUCCCAGGUUCAAACGAUUCUCCUGCCUCAGCCUCCCCGAGUAGCUGGGAUUACAGGCACGCUCCAUCACGCCCACCUCAUUUUUGUAUUUUUAGUAAAGACAGGGUUUCACUAUGUUGGCCAGGCUGGUCACGAACUCCUGACCUCAAGUGAUCCAACCGCCUCAGCCUCCCAAAGGGCUGGAAUUACAGGCAUGAAUCACCACGCCCGCCGUGACCUGCUCUUUAGUGCUUCCUGUGUCGACUGCCUUCCCUUCCCUCCCUCCCUUCCCCAUUCCUCUUCCUGGGUCACCUCCCAAACAAACUACAUUCACCUGAACCUCGUCCGGCCGUAUGUGCUGGUGUUAAGGAGUCUGUCUGGAAUUUUCCCUGAGAGCAAUAAGUGGGUUUAUAAACAGGGGUGUGGCAUGAUCUCAUUUGCAACUCAGAGCACUCUGACUGCACCCUGGAAAAUGGGCAGAAGGGGCAAGAGUGGAGCCACGGUCCUGCCCAGGGAGAGGUCCACAGCUAUAGAGCUGAGUGCUGGUGUGUGUGGUUCAGAUUCUCACUGUGCUGAGAGUACCCAGAAGAACAAGUUCACUGGAGUUCAGAGCAGUUGGAUGUGCGAGACUUUACUUGGGCAACCUGAACGGAGAAAGAGGGAAUAAGGAUGGCUCCCACAGAGCAGAAGGGCCUGCACCAGGAAGAUUCCAGGUAUUGUAGAUAUCUCAUUCUUUGUCUUAUUCAGCAUUCAUUCCCCACUUCUUUUUUUUCCUUUUUCUUUCUUUCUUUUUUUUCUUUUCUUUUCUUUUUUUUUUUUUUUAAGACGGAGUCUCACUCUGUCACCCAGGCUCGAGUGCAGUGGUGCGAUCUCAUUUCACUGCAGUGUCCACCUCUGGGGUUCAAGUGAUUUUCCUGCCUCAGCCUCCUGAGUAGCUGGGAAGGCGCGUGCCACCACGCCCGGCUAAUUUUUGUAUUUUUAGUAGAGAUGGGGUUUCACCAUAUUGGCCAGGCUGGUCUUGAACUCCUGACCUCAGGUGACCCGCCCACUUCGGCCUCCAAAAGUGCUGGGAUUAAAGGCGUGAGCUACCGUCCUGGCCUCAUUCCCCACUUCUGAGAAGAGCACCUGGCUUUCCUUUGGAGGAGUCAUUCCUUCCCCACCAUCGGCCCUCAGCUCCUGCUUGGGUGCAGCUAACCCUACCCCCUGGUUCCAGGUGGUCACAUGACCCAACUCUCAUCAAUCCCUCCCACCAGUGAUUGUCUCACAGCUGGGCACAUGACUAGAUCAGGCCAAUCAAGACCAAGGAGACUCUGUUCCGUUUGUGGGGCCUGUCUAGAAAGGGAAGCUCUCUCUCCAUUGGAUUUGGAGCAGUUAGGAUGAAACCUGGAGCUGGUGGCUGGUUUGCUAUCAGGAGCAGAAAGAGGAUACUUGGAAAUAAAGCCAACACGGUAAAGGGAAGAGCUGAGAGAUGGAGGAAGAGUGACCACCCUGAGGGAAACCUUGGCGCUUCCCCAGCCAGUUGUAUUGAAGUCCAUGGCUUCUACGGAUUUCCAGUUACGUAAUCGAAUCAAUUGCCUUUUUUGCCUUAAGCCAGUUUCAGUUAACUUUCUGUCUUUUGCAACUGAAAGUUCAGACAUACUUUGUUUCCUAGAGUAAUGGAAAAAAUGGACUCAGAGUCAAGAAGGACUUUGCUCUGCCAUUAACCAGCUGUGUCCUUGGAUAAAUCACUUCAUCUUCUAGAUUCAAUUCUCUAGAAUGAAGGAAAUAAUACGUUCCUCUUGGGUGGCUGGAAUAAUUGAAUGACCUCCUGUGGCUGGCAGUGCUUUGUGAAAGUGAAGGGGAAAUACAAAUGCAAGGGGUUCUUAGGAAAUGGCAGAGAUAAUAUUAGGAAAGAGGUUUCAGACGAGCUUAAAAGGAUGGCGGGCUCCAAGGUAAACUCAGAUGCAGUAGCAAUCAGGUGGUGAUGGAAGCCUGUGAAGUGGUGGCAGGUAUAAGAAAGAUCAGGGGCCUUUCUGGUCUACUCUUUCCUUUUCUCUUUGAUAAAUUUGUGAGACAAAGGAAUAUCACUGUAAGAAAAAUGGCAGCACAAACGUGAUGAGCACCAUCAACUGACACUGACUUUAGGAUCAGAGACAAUAGGGAGUGGUGGGGACUGUGGUAGACUGGACAGUGCAUGCCCCAUUGUAAACAAGUAGCAUUCCUCAGCUCCAGCCAAUCUAUGCCACACAGUAUGGCAAGAUUUUCUAAUUUUUCUUUUUUUUUUUCCUUAUCUUUUUUUUUUAAAUAGAAAAGUGGGAAAUAUCUUUUAAUGUUUGAGUAUUUUCUUAAAAUUUUCCUUUUUUUUUUUUCUUUUUGAGACAGUUCCUCUGUUGCCCAGGCUGGAGUGCAAUGCUACAAUCUCAGCUCACUGCAACCUCUGCCUCCUGGGUUCAAGCAAUUCUUCUGCCUCAGCCUCCCGAGUAGCUGGAACUACAGGCGCACACCACCACACCUGGCUAAUUUUUUUGAGAUGGGGUUUCACCAUAUUGGCUAGGCUGGUCUCGAACUCCUGACCUCAAGUGAUCUGCCCACCUUGGCCUCCCAAAGUGCUAGGAUUACAGGUUUGAGCCAAGCCACCACAUCUGGCCAGAUUUUCCAUUUUUUUGACUUAACAUAAUAGUGUAAUAAAGAAAUAUGGCUCCC
rnacentral:lncRNA from 1 species